rnacentral:lncRNA from 1 species
CUUAUGCAUACAGCCGCCUCAAAACAAUAGACAGUUUUAGUUUAGCGUACGUUACAAAAUAGCAGGUCGUCACUGCGCAUGCACAGAAUGCUAAACGACCCAUAGCGACACAUGCUAUUUCUCAGAUUUAGCGUUACCGUCUU